CCUACGGGUAGCAGCAGUGAGGAAUAUUGGUCAAUGGACGCGAGCCUGAACCAGCCAAGUAGCGUGAAGGAUGACUGCCCUACGGGUUGUAAACUUCUUUUAUAUAGGAAUAAAAUGUUCAACGUGUUGGAUUUUGUAUGUACCAUAUGAAUAAGCAUCGGCUAACUCCGUGCCAGCAGCCGCGGUAAUACGGAGGAUGCGAGCGUUAUCCGGAUUUAUUGGGUUUAAAGGGAGCGUAGGUGGUUUGUUAAGUCAGCGGUGAAAGUUUGCGGCUCAACCGUAAAAUUGCAGUUGAAACUGGCAGUCUUGAGUACAGUAGAGGUGGGCGGAAUGCGUGGUGUAGCGGUGAAAUGCUUAGAUAUCACGCAGAACUCCGAUUGCGAAGGCAGUUUACUAGACUGCAACUGACACUGAGGCUCGAAAGUGUGGGUAUCAAACAGGAUUAGAUACCCGAGUAGUC
rnacentral:rRNA from 1 species